rnacentral:tRNA from 1 species
AUAAUUUUAAGUUAAUGGAAACUAUUAAUUUUCAAAAUUAAAAAUAUAUUUGUAUGUAUAAAUUAUA